CCCUAUGGACUAUAGCCCAACAGGCUCCUCUGCCCACGGGAUUCUACAGGCAAGAAUACUGGAGUGGGUUGCCAUUUUCUCCUCCAGGGGAUCUUCCCGACCCAGGGAUCAAACCCACGUCUCUGUCUCCUGCAUUGCCAGGCAGAUUCUUUACCCACUGAGCCCACCUGGGAAGCCCUUCAGCCAGUUUGCAUGCCCAGAACCCUUUGAAUGAAUCAGAGCCAGCUGAGUGGUCAGCAGGAACCUCUGGGCUCCAGGGCCAGGAAGGACCUUGGACUUUGCUCACUUCUCCCAGCACCCCUGGCUCUGCAUCCUGGCUAGGGUGACCCCUGAGCUUGAACUUGGCCCAAGAGCAAGCUGGCCUCCUGGGGCAAGCUGGGCCCAUGUGUCCAAGCCACGCCCCUGUGGCUGCCCUUUGGGCUCAGAGCUAUAGCACAGUGGGCUGGAGGGCUGGGCCUGGGGAUGGUGAGACUUAUAGGGGAGCUGUGACUGGCAGUGCUUGAUGCCUGCACCCCAGGGGCCCCAUGCUCAUUUGUCCAGGGUGGUAACUGGGGGCUGGCAAGCAGUGUUCUGGGAGGAGGGGAGUGAGGAGGGUGAGCACCAGGACCCCAAGGUCCCCUCAUACUUCGAACCUGGAAUGGGUUGCCAUGCCCUCCCCCAGGGGAUCUUCCUGACCCAGCGAUUGAACUUGCGUCUCUUUUAUCUCCUGCAUUGGCCGGUUCUUUACCACUAGCGCCACCUGGGAAGCCUGGAGACGGCUCAGUGAACACAGAGCAGAUGACUGAAUUGAUGAUGCCUGGGGCUUUCGCUCAUCCAAGGCUUUCAUUUCUUCUGAGUGACAAGUCCAGUGCCAAGGAGAGCCAUGACCCUGGUGAGGGUGCUACUCGGGUCCUGUUAGUAGGUCUCAGGACCUCCUGACACCCGGCAUGCAUGUGGGCAGGGGCCGCACGUGGAAGGUGCAGAGGUCCGUGAAGGUCACCACCAAGCCAGCCACGUGCCCCCACCCCAUCCCAGGCCCUGCUCGGGGGUGCUGGCGCUAUGAUCCCCUUCCGAGUCAAUCGGUC
ensembl:lncRNA